GCCGGGUAUGGUGGUGUACACCUGUAAUCCCAGAGGCUCGGGAGGCUGAGGCAGGAGGAUCGCGAGUUCAAAGCCAGCCUUGGCAAUGGCGAGGCACUAAGCAUCUCAGUGAGAUCCUGUCUCCA
rnacentral:sRNA from 1 species